AUUUAACGCUGGCGGCAGGCCUAACACAUGCAAGUCGAACGAGUGGCGGACGGGUGAGUAAUGUCUGGGAAACUGCCCGAUGGCGGGGGGUAACUAAUGGAAACGGUAGCUAAUACCGCAUACCAUCGGAUGUGCCCAGAUGGGAUUCGAUAGUAGGUGGGGUAACGGCUCACCUAGGCGACGAUCCCUAGCUGGUCUGAGAGGAUGACCAGCCACACUGGAACUGAGACACGGUCCAGACUCCUACGGGAGGCAGCAGUGGGGAAUAUUGCACAAUGGGCGCAAGCCUGAUGCAGCCAUGCCGCGUGUAUGAAGAAGGCCUUCGGGUUGUAAAGUACUUUCAGCGAGGAGGCGUUACUCGCAGAAGAAGCACCGGCUAACUCCGUGCCAGCAGCCGCGGUAAUAC
rnacentral:rRNA from 1 species